GCCCAGACGAAAGGGAGUCUGGGAAAUGUAGUCUUACCCUGGAUAGCUCCCUGCCCAGCUAAAACUCGAUGGCAUUGGAAGAAAAGGGAAACAGAACAGGCCACUGGGAAGACAACUGGCAGCCUGCCACGAGGAGAAGGAGAACUCCACGUGAGGAGAAAAGCUGCAGGAGAGGGAGCUGAUUAAUUAUAUCUCAGCUGAGUGGAUGUUACCAGGAACAUAGAUUUGGAUUUCAUAGGAAAAAAAUUAGGAUCCUGAAAGAAGGAAUGGGCUAUCUUGAGCAUCAGCCUUCGUGGCUUCCAAAAAACUAUCUAGAAAAAAAUGGUCAGAAGAACUGAUGCUUGGAGGGAUGUUGGAGAAGUGUACCUGGGUGGUCGGCCUUGAGGGGGGGAUAGGAAGAGAGGCCCUGGAAAUGCACCACAGCCCCAGCUCUGAUGGAAGCCCGGAGGACCGACCAGGAGGAAUAGCUGCCAUUGUGGACCAUGAAGAUGAGUGUCGUAGACACUCUAAGGAUGGAUGGUGGAGCUGUGGGCUGGAAGAAGCCCGUGUACCUGAAAACUUCAUGAGCAAAGUCAUCAUACCAGGCCUCUGGGACCCCCUAGUCCUGUACUUUCACACGAAAGAGAAAUAAACAACUCUCUAUUCAA